AGGCCGAAAGGCGUAGUCGAUGGGAAACAGGUUAAUAUUCCUGUACUUGGUGUUACUGCGAAGGGGGGACGGAGAAGGCUAUGUUAGCCGGGCGACGGUUGUCCCGGUUUAAGCAUGUAGGCUGGUUAUCCAGGCAAAUCCGGAUAAUCAAGGCUGAGGUGUGAUGACGAGGCACUACGGUGCUGAAGUAACAAAUGCCCUGCUUCCAGGAAAAGCCUCUAAGCAUCAGGUAACAUUAAAUCGUACCCCAAA
rnacentral:rRNA from 1 species